rnacentral:tRNA from 1 species
GAGGGUAGAGCUGAGUGGUAGAGCACGUGCUUAGCAUACACAAGGUCCUGGGUUCAAUUCCCGGUACAUCCU